GUGGAUUUACUAGGAAGGUGGGACGUUGGAGGGGCGGCCGCAUGGCGUGAUUACUGUCUCUGGCCACCGAGCAGAGCCAGUGACAGCAGCGUUCUGGUAGGCAGGCAGGCGUAUCAGGUUUCAGAGGAUGCGGCUGGGAACGGGAGUAGAGGUGAGGGGUCGUUGCAUCUGUCGCGGUGUGUAUCUUUUGGGGGUUCAGCGCCACCAGCGACUUGGGCCUCAUUCAUCGCGCUUACAAUUCUCCACCUCAUUUGAAGAACAAGCUUCGUAGCCCACGGAGCUGAGAACUAAGAUGAGUUUUCAAUGGAUAACUG
rnacentral:lncRNA from 1 species